AACGAACGCUGGCGGCAGGCUUAACACAUGCAAGUCGAGCGACCCGCAAGGGGAGCGGCAGACGGGGGAGUAACGCGUGGGAACGUACCCCUCGCUACGGCAUAGCUCCGGGAAAAUGGAAUUAAUACCGUAUGUGCCCUACGGGGGAAAGAUUUAUCGGCGAAGGAUCGGCCCGCGUUGGAUUAGCUAGUUGGUGGGGUAAUGGCCUACCAAGGCGACGAUCCAUAGCUGGUCUGAGAGGAUGAUCAGCCACAUUGGGACUGAGACACGGCCCAAACUCCUACGGGAGGCAGCAGUGGGGAAUAUUGGACAAUGGGCGCAAGCCUGAUCCAGCCAUGCCGCGUGAGUGAUGAAGGCCUUAGGGUUGUAAAGCUCUUUCACCGGAGAAGAUAAUGACGGUAUCCGGAGAAGAAGCCCCGGCUAACUUCGUGCCAGCAGCCGCAGUAACAC
rnacentral:rRNA from 1 species